rnacentral:other from 10 species
CCUAGCGUGAGGGGACGCGAGGAUCGAGCCGCCGCCGCUUCUGCCGGUGCGUCGGGCCCUGACAAGCAGCCGCGAGAGAGGCUCUUCGGAGGCGGCCCUGCAGCCCAGCGAUUGUCGCCUGGGGUCUCACGAGGGAUUGGCCGCCGCGCACCCCAGCCCUGUCUGGACGUGCCUCCCCUUUCUCUCUCCCUCUCGCUCUCCCCUUGUGCGGAGGCAGCCAGCGGCUUUGGACGGGCGAGCCUGGGGGCCGCCGGCCACGAAGGCUUCGCCGGGACCCAUUCACCAUG